rnacentral:lncRNA from 1 species
CCGGUGCCUGGGGUCUCUGGAGGGGGUACUCAGAGUAUCCGAGGAGGAGACUCCUGGAUGCUAACAGAGCCCCCAGUUAGGAGCAGUCCGCGAGACAGUUGGUAACAGUGCUGGCCUUGCCCGGGCGCCGGAAGGUUCCGUGAGGCCCAGCAAGUCCUGACUUGGCACAGGGCCCAGCACACGGCGCAGUAACAAUAUAAUUACCGUAUGCAGUCCCCCAGGAUACAGGGUCAAAGGAGAGCACAACCAUCGCAGUUGGAAGCCCAUGGGGCAGGGCCCAGGACACAGUGAGCAUACAAUAGACAUUAGCUGCUGUGGUGUCUUGAUUUCAAGCCCAGUGCAGAUGCAUCUGACUUACGAAACUUCAGUGACACCUGCUCUGUGCCAGACACUGAAGAUGGAGCAGUGAACAGCACUGACCCAGCCUGUCCUCCUGUUGCCUGCAGGCCAGAAGCAAGGUCUCGCUGUGUUACCCUGGCUGGAGUGCAGUGGCUACUUACAGGCAUGAUCAUAGCAUACUGCAGCCUCGAACUCCUGGACUAGAGCAGUUCUCCUGCCUCAGCCUCCAGAGCAGCUGGGACUGCAGACACGCACCACAGAGCCCAGCCUGAGUCAUUUUGAUUCUGUAACUGGCUUCCUCUCGGCGGGCAGGCUCACACCCUCCACCCCCAGCUGGAGAUGGAAGGAGGAUGCUCACCGCCCAUUCCUCAUGCAGGCCAUCGAUGGAAAUGUCAGACAGUGCGAGUCCACGCCUGAACACUUCUGGGGUCCGCUCUGGGACUGACACUGGCAGAUCCAUCGUGGCACCCGAGCUCUGUGAGGGCAAGACUUUGUUCGGUUGUGGGCUAUGCCCCCAACCCCUCGGACAGUGCCUGCACAGGUGGACAUUUUUGUUGGAUGAAGGAUUUUCUGUUAAAUGUGUCUGGCACACACAGAAAAACAAAGCCCAGCAGGUACGAUGGUGAUUAUUAUUGUUACUGGUGGCGCUCUAUUAUUGUUAUUAGUGUCUGUUGAAAAAGACCCUGAGCUAUACCAGCCCUUGGUUCUCCAGCCUGUGAAAUGGGCAUCCUGGGCACUGAGGCACUAGCCUUGGGAAGCUGAUAGGGGGUCCCUGCAGGAGAGACAAAGAACACUGCCCACCCCCCCGGGGGAGCCUGCGCCCCUCACCGGAAAGAGAAGCAGGGGGGAGCAGAGGGAGCUUGCAGCCCCACACGCAGGGCUGCCAGAAGGCCAUACAUAAUUCAUUGCCAAAUGGGGCUGCGGGCGGCUCUCCGCGGCGUGCGCUGGGGGCUCACUCUGCGCCUGGCACUUCGCUGACUGCGCCUCACACGUUGCCUCAUUGCAUCUUCAUGGAUUUGCAGGGUGUGACCCUUCCCCCUGUUUUACCCAGGGGGAUCCUGAGGCUCAGAGGAUGGGGCCACCGUGCUAGUCACACAGCCUCUCUGUGGCCAAGCUGGGCCUCGGGCCAGCAGAUUCGGCCCCCAGCGGCCCCCAUUCACUGCCUCUCUGCUGAGGGAAAAGACGGGCCUGGGGAGCGGGUGGGAGGCACAAAGGAGACCCCGCUCUGAGACAGGCUGCAGAAGAGGGAGCUGGGUCUCAGCAGGGCUGGGGAAGGCUCUGGCCCCAGCCCUCCGCCCAACCCCCUGCCCUCCUCUCCUGGAGGAGAUGCUCCCCAAAUUAGCCAUCAUGAGCGCUGGCUCUGGGGGUUGGGCGUUGGGGAGCAGUUUGCUCAGCUGUAAAAUGGGAAUAACAGAAGCCGUCCCUGGGACUAUGAGAUCAAGGUGCUCAAGAAAAGUGGUGUCUGCUGAGGGGAAAAGCCAGUCCCAAAAGGUUGCAUACUCUCAUUCUGUUUAUUUGUUUUUGUUUUUGAGACAGGGUCUCGCCCUGUCACCCAGGCUGGAGUACAGUGGCGCAAUAUGGGCUCACUGCAACCUCCACCUCCUGGGCUCAAGUGAUCCUCCCAUCUCAGACCCUCAAGGAGCUGGGGCUACAGGCACGUGCCACCGUGUCCGGCUAAUUUUUGUAUUUUUUGUAGAGACAGGGUUUCACCAUGUUGCCCAGGCUGGUCUCAAACUCCUGAGCUCAGGUGAUCCGCCUGCCUUGGCCUGCGAUAAAAUUGCACAGAAGUAAAUACACACACGUGAGGAUACGGAAAACCGGGGAAACCUGAGCAAGAGCAGUCAGACCCCGGCUGUGAUGGCGCCCAGUAGUUCUGCGAGAUGUUACCAUUGGGGAAACUGAGUGAAGGCGGGUACCUGGGAUCCCUCUGUUUUCUUUUUUGUUGUUGUUGUUAUUUUGAGAUGAAGUUUCCCUCUUGUUGCCCAGGCUGGGUGAUCCACCUGCCUCGGCCUCCCAAAGUGCUGGGAUUACACGCGUGAGCCACUGUGCCCAGCCUCUCUGUUUUAUUUCUUCUUUUUUUUUUUUUUUUUUUGGAGACGCUCUGUCGCCCAGGCUGGAGUGCAGUGGCACGAUAUUGGCUCACUGCAAGCUCCGCCUCCUGGGUUCACACCAUUCUCCUGCCUCAGCCUCCCGAGUAGCUGGGACUACAGGCGCCCGCCACCUCGCCCGUCUAAUUUUUUGUAUUUUUAGUAGAGGCGGGGCUUCACCGUGUUAGCCAGGAUGGUCUCAAUCUCCUGACCUCGUCAUCCGCCCGUCUCGGCCUCCCAUAGUGCUGGGAUUACAGGCAUGAGCCACCACGCCCGGCUGUUUUAUUUCUUAUAACUGUACAGGAAUCUACAAUGAUUGUAACAAAAAUUUCAAUUAAGGCCACUCUAGGCACAUGGCCUGUGGGGUAGCCCUGCUCAACAAGAAGCCGUCAAAAAAAUGUUUUUUAAUUAAAAAAUUUCUUCAAUUAAAAAGCGUUAUCUUCCUCUGCCCGGAAAGGGUUAAGUGAGUCACUGCAGUUAGCUCCCCUUCCCCCACAACCACCUAGACCAGGCCAGGGACCAGCGGGCAAUUGCCUGGCAGCUGGAGUUUUCCUCCACUGUGGACUGUACUUCUUGCGUCACUCUGAAUGUCUCCAGUCUUUAUUCCAGAAUGUUCUGGUCCUCUCCCACUUUUCCAAGGACAGGAAUUCCCUAGUGGGGCUCCAGAAGAGGCUCUGGAGGAGAACAAGAAAGGCCCUUGUCAUCCAUUGGCCUCAGGCUGGGAAAUCUCGGUUCCACUCCCAGCCCAGCCUCAAUAUUAGGUUGUCAGUCUGGAGUCUGAGAGCCAUGCCCCCACCCCCUUAGUCCUUCACCUCCAGGAGAGUUGGGGAUACUGGAAAGAAUGUUGAGUGUCAGAGCCCCUCUCAGUGGCUCACGCCUGAAAUCCCAGCCCUUUGGGAGGCUGAGGCAGGUGGAUUGCUUGAGGCCAAGAGUUCAAGACCAGCCUGGCCAACGCGACGAAACCCUGACUCUACUAAAAAUACAAAAAUUAGCUGGGCGUGGUGGCACACACCUGUAAUCCCAGCAGCUCGGGAGGCUGAGGCAGGAGAAUUGUUUGAACCUGAGAGGUGGAGGUUGCAGUGAGCUGAGAUCACAACACUGCACUCAAAAAGUAGUUAAUUAAUUUAGUUUAAUUAAAAAAGAAUAUUGAGUGUCAGGCAAUCUGGGUAGAACCCAUUGUGUUUCUACAGGAUAGAAUCUGCUGUGUUCUCUAGCGGAACUUCCGGAUCACCUUCACCGUAUGACUCUAGACAAUCCCUGUCCACUCUUCAGUUUUAGAUGCCCCAUUCAAAGAAUGAAAGAAUUGUCCUAGAUGAUCCUUUAGGGUCUUCCAGGCUGAUGACAAGGGGGACCUGGCCCCUCUGCUGCUGGCCAAAGAGGACUUUACUUCCCAUUCCGUGUGGUUGAACAAGAAUUGCUGGGCUCCAGUCCUGCCUUUGGCCCUUCCCUACAUGUGACCUUGGGCCCUCUUUGCCUUUCAGAAUCAAUACAGUGAGAGAGUUAACACAAGCUCAGGUUAGUAAGUCAUUCAACAAACAUUUACUGAGCGCUUAUCAAAUACUGCAUGCUGGAGUGGACACUGGAGAAAAAGGUGAGGAGAAGGCCGGGCGCAGUGGCUCGUGACUGUAAUUCCAGCACUUUGAGGGGCAGAGGCAGGUGGAUUACCUGAGGUCAGGAGUUUGAGACCAGCCUGGCCAACAUGGCAAAACCCCGUCUCUACUAAAAAUACAAAUAUUAGCCAGGCAUGGUGGUGCAUAUCUGUAGUCCCAGCUACUCAGGAGGCUGAGCAGGAGAAUCACUUGAACUCAGGAGGUGGAGCGUGCAGUGGGCCGAGAUUGCACCUCUGCACUCCAGCCUGGGCAACAUAGUGAGACUCUGUCUCAAAUAAAUAAAUAAAGUGAGGAGAAAAAAAUACCAUCUCUGUCUUCACAGAACUUAUAGUUUGAGAGGGGAGAAUCCCACAAGUAAAUUAUAAAUCUCAGCUGAGAUUAUGCAAAGAAGCAAAGGCCGGACGUGGUGGCUCACGCCUGUAAUCCCAGCACUUUGGGAGGCCGAGACGGGCGGAUCAUGAGGUCAGGAGAUUGAGACCAUCCUGGCUAACACGGUGAAACCCUGUCUCUACUAAAAAUACAAAAAAAUUAGCUGGGCGUGGUGGCGGGCGUCUGUAGUUCCAGCUACUCGGGAGGCUGAGGCAGGAGGAUGGCGUGAACCCAGGAGCACAGGUUGCAGUGAGCCGAGAUGGCGCCACUGCACUCCAGCCUGGGCGACAGAGCGAGACUCUGUCUCAAAAAAAAAAAAAAAAAAGGAAGCAAAGUGCCCAGCUGGGAUGGUGGUUUCAGAGGCCACAGUGGGAGCUUCCCAGAGAAGGGAUGAUUGAGCUAAGUCUAAGCAAAAGGGGUGGUCAGGGCAGCAGCUGCUCCAAAACAGGGGCUGGGGGCUUAUGUGGAGAGAGAAGACAUGGAGAGACCAUGCCCAGAAGGAGGCGGCGGCUUCAGUGAACAGUGCAGGGGAGCAGGUCCGAGGAGGCCGCCUACCAGGGGAAGGAGUCUCAUCUCCAUCCUAGACAAAAAAAGGAUCUUUUGAGAUGCAUUAAGCAGGGGAGUCACAGAUUGGAUUUGUGUUUUGAGAAUCUCCUGCUUACCUAGAGAAGAAGGGCAUCUCCUGGGCCCUCACUGUUGCCUUAAAUGAUUUUUAUUGUGUAUUACUUAAACAUGUGCAAGCAUAAAAUGAGAUAUAAACUCCUUGUAGCUCUUAUACAAGCAUCAGACCAAGACAAAUUGACCCAUCACGUACAAAAUCGAUUCAAAUCAGAUUAAUUUUAUGUGACAUGUUAUUAUGCCUUUUGUCUGAAACCCUGCCACCACCCACAGUGCAAUUAUGGCCCAACCACUGUGGUGUUCUGAAUUUGUGGGACAGAGAAUAUUGGCCUUUUAAACACGUGCAUGCAUGCAUUUGCGUGUGCGCACACACACACAUCCCAAAUGAUUUUUUCCCACUAUAUAUGAAGAACUCCUACAAACCAAAAAGAAAAAGGCAGACAAUUCAAGAGAAAAAUGGGGGAGGGCUUGCAUUAAAGUACUUCAUAACAAGAGUACUUAGGAGGCCAACAAAUACACGAAAAGCUGCUAGCUUCAUGACUCAUGGGGGUGGCUUGGUCAGUUCAGGAUACUGUAACAAAAUACCUUAGACUGGGAAAUUUAUAAACAACGGAAUUUAUUGCUCACAGUUCUGGAGGCUGGGAAGUCCAAGAUCAAGGCAGCAGUAGAUCCGGUGCCUGAGCCCGUUCCCUGCUUCAAACAUGGCACCUUCUUGCUGUAUCCUCACAUGGUGGAAGGGGGAAGACAGUUCUCUGGGGCCUCUUUUAUAAGGGCAGUUAUCCAAUUCACAAGGAUAGAGCCCUCAUGACCUAAUCACCUUUCAAAGAUCCCCAUCUUCUAACACCUUCUAACACCAUCACCUUGGUGAUUAGGUCUUUUUGUUGUUGUUGUUGUUGAGAUGGACUCUCACUCUGUUGCCUAGGCUGGAGUGCAGUGGCGUAAUCUUGGUUCACUGCAACCUCUGCCUCCCGGGCUGAAGUGAUUAUCCUGUCUCAGCCUCCCAAGUGGCUGGGAUUACAGGCGUGUGCCACCAUGCCCGGCUAAUUUUCAUAUUUUUAGUAGAGACAGGGUUUCACCAUGUUGGUCAGGCUGGUCUCGAACUCCUGACCUCAUGAUCCGCCCACUUCGUCCUCCCAAAAUGCUGGGAUUACAGGCAUGAGCCACUGCACCCAGCCGAUUAAGUCUUAACGUAUGAGUUUUUGGGAGAAACUCAAACAUUCGGACAAUAGCAAGGAGAAUACAAAACCACAGUGAGCUACCGCUUCAGACACCAGAGAAGUUUAAGUGAAAAAGACUGGCAAUACCAAGUGCUGAUGAGGAUAUGGAGCAACCAGAACUCUCAGACAUUGCUGAUGGGAAUCUAAAUUAGUAUAACCACCACGAAAGCAUCCGUAAGGUUUAAUUGUGUUGAACACACCCUGCCCUCUGACCAAGCAUUUCCACUCCUGGGCAUACAGGCAAAAGAAAUGCAUCCACGUGUUCAUCAAAAGAUGUAACCUGUGCCAGGUGAGGUGGUUCAUGCCUGUAAUCCCAGCACAUCGGGAGGCCAAGGAGGGAGGAUUGCUUGAGCCCAGAAGUUCGAGAGCAGCCUAGGCAACAAGGCAAAACCUCGUCUCUACUAAAAAGUAGCCAGGCAUGAUGGUAUAUGCCUGUAGUCCCAGCUACUCAGGAGGCCAAGGCAUGCAGAUUGAUUGAACCCGGAAGGUGGAGGCUACAGUGAAUUGUGAUCUCGCCACUGCACUCCAGCCUGGGUGACAGAGCAAGAUCUUGUCUCAAUUAAAAAAAAAGGAAGAAAGAAAGACAUAACCUGGAAUAUUCACACCAACACUAUUCAGGAUAGCCCUAAACUGGAAAGAAUCUGAAUAUCCUCCGGCUUUAGAACAGAGAGAAAUUAUAGACUAUUCAUUCAUACAGGGGAUGAUUGAUCAGCUUUAAGAAUAAACAAACCGUACACAACAAUAUAGAUGAAUCUACAACCUUAAUGUGCAAAAUAGUUCACAUAUAUAAAGGACAAAAACAGGCAAAACUACUCCAUGGUGUUAGAAAUAGGGGUAGAGGUUACCCUCAUGCGGCAGGAGGGUUAGUGAUAGGGGAUUUGGAAGAGGAGGAGCCCAAUGGACUGAACAGCUGAGCUGGAAACAGCAAUUUGUUCCUUAAAGUUCUGAACCCAACUGUUAUCCAGCAUGGAGUCUGUCUGGAGAGGCCAGAUGUGGGGCCUCUCACAGGGGAAUGAGAAGUGCCUCUCAGGGUCCCACCCAUGAUCCCCCUUUCCUUGCCCACACAACCACCAACUGGCAAGUAGUAACCCAGGACCUGUAGCCCCCACUGGCUUGACACAGAGCAUAAUGCAAGCUUUUCCUGCUCCAGGUCCUGGACACCACUUUGCCCUUUGCCCCACACGUACAGCCCCCUGACCAAAAGCUGGGUACUCUGGCUUGACUAGAGGGAGCUAGACUCCAGGAAUAAGUAAGGAGCUGGGCUUCCACGCUAGAGAACAAGAGCUUCUCUGGGGAAAGGGGCUUCCCAUGAAGCCCUGGGGCACUGGGAGAUUAAUGGGCAGACCUCUGGCCUCAGCUUCCAGGGAAGGGGAGGGUGUGGGCCAACAUGCGGUGGCUACACUGACCACAAGCCGAUGACCCCAGCCAGCCUCAGGAUGUCUCAGCUCUAGGCAUGGUUUUUCGUUUUGUUUUGUCGUGUUUUGUUUUUGAGAUGGAACCUCGCUCUGUCGCCUAGGCUGGAGUGAAGUGGCACCAUCUCGUCUCCCUGCAACCUCCACCUCCUGGGUUCAAGCGAUUCUCCUGCCUCAGCCUCCUGAGUAGCUGAGAUUACAUGUGCGUGCCACCUUGCCCAGCUAAUUUUUGUAUUUUUAGUAGAGAUAGGGUUUCAUCAUGUUAGCUAGGCUGGUCUCAAACUCCUGACCUCAAGUGAUCUGCCUGCCUCAGCCUCCCAAAGUGCAAGGAUUACAGGCAUGAGCCACCAUGCCCGGCAUAGGCAUGGUUUUGACAAUCUGUCUCUUUGUGCCCUGGCUCCUUCUCCAACUCCUCUUUGGAGGAGGCACAGGAGGAGGGGUCAUUUCACUGUUCCUGAAAAGUAGACAUAUAACCUACAUGCAACUGCCAGGUGAUAAGGGCCCCAUCUGUCUGGCAUGACGUUGGAGGUCCACAAAGGCUGAUUAGAUGAAUGCUCAGCUCUGGGGCCUCCCCACAGAGCUCACAGACAGGCGUGAAGGAAAGCAGGACUCUUAUUAGAAUAUGUUCAGAGUUUUCACUGAAGAAGCCUCCUGUGUGGGCCAGGCACUGUGCUCAGUGCUUUGAUUCACAGUCUCAUUUAAUUCUCACCAUUUACAGACAAGAAUUCAGCUAAGAUCCUUUUCAAUCAAGUCUGGCAAUAUCUGCCUUUCAAUGGCAGUGCCUAGUCCUUUCAUAUGUAAUAUACUUAUCAUUAUGGGUGGGUUUAAGUUUUAUCAUCUUGCUAUUUGUUAUCUAUUUGUCCCCCCUCUUUUGUUCCUCCUUUACUGCCUUCUAUUUGGUUGAGACUUAAUAAAAUAUUUUAUUCC